rnacentral:rRNA from 1 species
CAGCGCCACGAGUGGCAAUCGCGUUUAUUGGGCCUAAAGCGUCCGUAGCAGGUUUCAUAAAUCUCUUGUGAAAUUGCCAAGCUUAACUUGGCAGCUUGCAGGAGACACUGUGAGACUCGAGACCGGGAAGGGUAAGAGGUAUUCCUGAGGGAGCGGUAAAAUGCUAUAAUCUCAGGAGGACCACCUGUGGCGAAGGCGUCUUACUAGAACGGAUCUGACUGUGAGGGACGAAAGCUAGGGGAGCAAACCGGAUUAGAUACCCGAGUAGUCC